AGUGCCCUAGAAGCUAUUCAUUACGAAUUCACUGGAAGCUCUCAAACGAGGCUGGCAGAAGCUGAAAUUGAAGUGGUCUCUGACCUAAUUUUCUUCUGCGUGAAACAUCUGCAUCAAGGCUCUCUUUGAUGUAUUCCACUUGGCUCUGUCUAUGGGAUUGUAUCACAUGGCCUCGGUGUUGCCUCCUUAUUGAAAGACAUUUCCAGCCUGUGCAAGCAACCGUGAUGAGGCGUCUUCUUUAUGCUGGCAGAAUAGCUCUUGCCUUCUCCGUAGAGGCCUGCUGACCUGUCUUGUUAAUGGUGUGCUGCUGUUCCCCACCAUCCCAGCAUUAUGAAGUCCUCCAUCAUCCUCCUCACUGUCCUAAGCCUCGAGGUAAUGCAGCAUGCAAGAACAGCCGUGUUUCCCUCCAACAAAGCACUUUGAAUUUUGUAUCAUCUGUCUUAUCAGGCUGUGACAUCUUGGAUGCAAAGAUAGCAUCUAUCUUUGGAGUCACAGUGUCGUCCACAAAUAGUCUAAUGAAUUCAUCCCAAAUUGCUCAAGAUUUACUUGGUUUUAGUACAGAAAGUCUGCUGUCCUGGAACACCUCAUUUUUGGGCAUACUACUGAGUACAAAAAGAGUGCCUGGCAAACAG